rnacentral:rRNA from 1 species
CCUACGGGCGGCAGCAGUGGGGAAUAUUGGACAAUGGGGGGAACCCUGAUCCAGCGACGCCGCGUGAGUGAAGAAGUAUUUCGGUAUGUAAAGCUCUAUCAGCAGGGAAGAAAGAAAUGACGGUACCUGACUAAGAAGCCCCGGCUAACUACGUGCCAGCAGCCGCGGUAAUACGUAGGGGGCAAGCGUUAUCCGGAUUUACUGGGGGUAAAGGGAGCGUAGACGGCGAUGCAAGUCUGAAGUGAAAGGCGGGGCCCAACCCCCGGACUGCUUUGGAAACUGUAUGGCUGGAGUGCAGGAGAGGUAAGUGGAAUUCCUAGUGUAGCGGUGAAAUGCGUAGAUAUUAGGAGGAACACCAGUGGCGAAGGCGGCUUACUGGACUGUAACUGACGUUGAGGCUCGAAAGCGUGGGGAGCAAACAGGAUUAGAUACCCGUGUAGUC